rnacentral:rRNA from 1 species
GAGCAUGUGGCUUAAUUUGACUCAACGCGGGAAAUCUUACCGGGUCCGGACACACUGAGGAUUGACAGGCAAUAUUAAUAUUAUUUUAUUAUAUGUAUUAUGUUAAAUAUGCUAGUCCUUUCAUGAUUAUGUGAUAGGUGGUGCAUGGCCGUUCUUAGUUCGUGGAGUGAUCUGUCUGCUUAAUUGCGUUUCACUAAGGGCCUAUAAAUUUACGUAUGUUGCAUCGCACUUUGACCCCUUUCUUAAUUGAAAGCGCGUGUCUUAGUUUCCGCUUUGCUCAUACAAUUAGGUCCUGAAAGCAACGAACGUGACCGCAACCUCUUGUUGCCUUUAUACCAAACAUGUUUAUUCAUUUUUUAAUGUUCAUUCAUGAAAAAAGGCUUUUUAAACUAGAGGGACCGCUGUUACUUUCUUAAACCAGAGGAAGGUUGCGGCAAUAACAGGUCUGUGAUGCCCUUAGAUGUUCCGGGCUGCACACGUGCUACAAUGAUUAUUGCAGUGAGCAUCUCAUUUUUACACACCGCAUGCGCGAGUCCAUUUAUUCACCUUCGGGUGUUUUAAAUGUGUACCUCUGCGCGCGGUAAAGCCUGCUUCGAGAGCAAGUGGGUAAUCAAUUAGAAGUAAUGAUUUCCUUUUUUUUAGCACACAUAUAUACGGCGUCUAUGCCCGGGUUACCUUGUUGUAGCUUUUGUGCGUAUAGAUGUUUUUUCCGUAUGUGCGAUUGUCAAUUCAUGGUGGGGACAGACCAUUGUUAAUUGUUGGUCUCGGUCUUAACUAGGAAUGCCUUGUACGGGUCUUUGGUUCAACAAACCACCCGGAAUACGUCCCUGCCCUUUGUACACACCGCCCGUCGCUCUUACCGAUGGACUUCUCUGUGAGUUUGAGGGACUGGAACGCAGGAAUUUAUUUCUGCACCCCUAUGGAAACUUAAACGAACAGUGUGGUCUAAAGGAAAGAGAAGUCGUAACAAGGCAU